CCUACGGGAGGCAGCAGUGGGGAAUCUUGGACAAUGGGCGCAAGCCUGAUCCAGCAAUGCCGCGUGGGUGAAGAAGGCCUUCGGGUUGUAAAGCCCUUUCGGUGGGGAAGAAAUCGGCCGGGCGAAUAGUUCGGCUGGAUGACGGUACCCGCAGAAGAAGCACCGGCUAACUACGUGCCAGCAGCCGCGGUAAU
rnacentral:rRNA from 1 species